UUACGGCCACAUCACGUUGAAACACAGAUUCCCAUACGAUCAGCGAAAUUAAUCAACGUCGAGCCUGUUCAGUACCUUGAUGGGUGUCUACUUGGGAAUACCAGAUUCUGUAA